rnacentral:rRNA from 1 species
CCUACGGGUGGCAGCAGUGGGGAAUAUUGGACAAUGGGGGGAACCCUGAUCCAGCGACGCCGCGUGAGUGAAGAAGUAUUUCGGUAUGUAAAGCUCUAUCAGCAGGGAAGAAAGAAAUGACGGUACCUGAAGAAGAAGCCCCGGCUAAAUACGUGCCAGCAGACGCGGUAAUACGUAGGGGGCAAGCGUUAUCCGGAUUUACGGGGUGUAAAGGGAGCGUAGACGGCAAUGCAAGUUUGAAGUGAAAGGCGGGGGCCCAACCCCGGGGCGGCUUCGGAAACUGUAUGGCUGGAGUGCAGGAGAGGUAAGUGGAAUUCCUAGUGUAGCGGUGGAAUGCGUAGAUAUUAGGAGGAACACCAGUGGCGAAGGCGGCUUACUGGACUGUAACUGACGUUGAGGCACGAAAGCGUGGGGAGCAAACAGGAUUAGAUACCCCGGUAGUC